rnacentral:SRP_RNA from 1 species
GCUGGGCAUGGUGGCGCAUGCCUGUAAUCCUAGCUACUGGGGAGGCUGAGGCACAAGAAUCGCUUGAACCUGGGAAGCGGAGGUUGCAGUGAGCCGAGAUCACGACACUGUACUCCAGCCUGGGUGACAGAGCGAGACUCUGUCUCAA